CUUUCCCUCUGGCGGCAUGCUUUACACAUGCAAGUCGAACGGUAACAGGCCUUCGGGUGCUGACGAGUGGCGAACGGGUGAGUAAUGCAUCGGAACGUGCCCAGAGGUGGGGGAUAACGCAGCGAAAGCUGUGCUAAUACCGCAUGUGAUCUGAGGAUGACAGCGGGGGACCCAGCAGCAAUGUUUGGCCUCGCGCCUCUGGAGCGGCCGAUGUCAGAUUAGGUAGUUGGUGGGGUAAAGGCCUACCAAGCCGACGAUCUGUAGCUGGUCUGAGAGGACGACCAGCCACACUGGGACUGAGACACGGCCCAGACUCCUACGGGAGGCAGCAGUGGGGAAUUUUGGACAAUGGGCGCAAGCCUGAUCCAGCAAUGCCGCGUGCGGGAAGAAGGCCUUCGGGUUGUAAACCGCUUUUGUACGGAACGAAAAGGCUCUGGCUAAUACCUGGGGCUGAUGACGGUACCGUAAGAAUAAGCACCGGCUAACUACGUG
rnacentral:rRNA from 1 species